CCCCUAGAUGUUCUGGGCCGCACGCGCGCUACACUGAACAGUUCAACAAGUCUUAACCUUGGCCGAUAGGUCUGGGUAAUCUUUGAACGCUGUUCGUGAUUGGGAUAGACCUUUGCAAUUAUGGGUCUUCAACGAGUAAUUCCUAGUAAACGCAAGUCAUCAGCUUGCAUUGAUUACGUCCCUGCCCUUUGUACACACCGCCCGUCGCACCUACCGAUUGAAUGGUCCGGUGAAAUCUCGGGACGGCGGCUUGGUCGCUUGCGUCCGACUGCUGAAACUUGAUUAAACCAUAUCAUUUAGAGGAAGGUGAAGUCGUANCA
rnacentral:rRNA from 1 species